rnacentral:rRNA from 1 species
UUGAACGCUGGCGGCAGGCCUAACACAUGCAAGUCGAGCGGCAGCGGGUCCUUCGGGAUGCCGGCGAGCGGCGGACGGGUGAGUAAUGCCUAGGAAUCUGCCUGGUAGUGGGGGAUAACGUUCGGAAACGGACGCUAAUACCGCAUACGUCCUACGGGAGAAAGUGGGGGAUCUUCGGACCUCACGCUAUCAGAUGAGCCUAGGUCGGAUUAGCUAGUUGGUGGGGUAAAGGCUCACCAAGGCGACGAUCCGUAACUGGUCUGAGAGGAUGAUCAGUCACACUGGAACUGAGACACGGUCCAGACUCCUACGGGAGGCAGCAGUGGGGAAUAUUGGACAAUGGGCGAAAGCCUGAUCCAGCCAUGCCGCGUGUGUGAAGAAGGUCUUCGGAUUGUAAAGCACUUUAAGUUGGGAGGAAGGGCAGUAAGUUAAUACCUUGCUGUUUUGACGUUACCAACAGAAUAAGCACCGGCUAACUUCGUGCCAGCAGCCGCGGUAAUACGAAGGGUGCAAGCGUUAAUCGGAAUUACUGGGCGUAAAGCGCGCGUAGGUGGUUCAGCAAGUUGGAGGUGAAAUCCCCGGGCUCAACCUGGGAACUGCCUCCAAAACUACUGAGCUAGAGUACGGUAGAGGGUAGUGGAAUUUCCUGUGUAGCGGUGAAAUGCGUAGAUAUAGGAAGGAACACCAGUGGCGAAGGCGACUACCCUGGACUGAUACUGACACUGAGGUGCGAAAGCGUGGGGAGCAAACAGGAUUAGAUACCCUGGUAGUCCACGCCGUAAACGAUGUCGACUAGCCGUUGGGAUCCUUGAGAUCUUA